GCUCCAAAGCUUAAUUUAUAGCUAUAUAGCUUGAGGGUAAUGAUGAAUCAGAUACAGAUAUACACCAUCUUGGUGAUAAGUUUUUGUGUAAGUUAAGAAAUUAACAAAAGUCAAAGGAUUUCCAGAAAGUCAAAAAUGGCUACCCUAGAAGCUAGCUAUAUUGAAAUCGAUCCACCCUAUAAAUACUCAUCUUAAUCUCCAUUAAAACAUGCAACAUUACAAAACAUAUACAACAAAACUUCAGGAGAGAGAUCCAGAGUAAUUCAAGAGAAGCCUAACAGAGCAUGGCAUCAGAAUGCGAAGGUAAGGAUACAUGGCCUGAGCUGCUGGGAAAGCAGGGGAAGUUUGCUGAGGAGGUGAUUGAGAAGGAGAAUUCUCAUGUUGAUGCUCAGAUUAUAUUGGAAGGGACAAUUGUGACUCAGGAAUUCCGAUGUGACAGGGUUCGAGUUUGGGUUGACAACUAUGGCACUGUCACUAGGGUCCCCCGAAUUGGUUAAUUAAGGCUGGCUAUAUAUAUAUAUAUAUAUAUAUAGCUAUAGUAAUAAACUAAUUUAUUGAUAAAAUGAAAUAAAGGAGAAGAACCCUUUUCUCUCCAUUGCAUUAAUAUUGUUGUAUUCAACAUGGAAAAUAUAUCAUAUCUUCCCUUGUACUGUAAUUGGAUAUUUUAUACAUAAAAAGUUAACUUUAAUUAAUUUGCA